UACGGAGGGUGCAAGCGUUAUCCGGAUUCACUGGGUUUAAAGGGUGCGUAGGUGGGCUAGUAAGUCCGUGGUGAAAUCUCCAAGCUUAACUUGGAAACUGCCGUGGAUACUAUUAGUCUUGAAUAUUGUGGAGGUGGGCGGAACGGGUCAUGUAGCGGUGAAAUGCUUAGAGAUGACCCGGAACACCGAUUGCGAAGGCAGCCCACUACGCAAUGAUUGACGCUGAGGCACGAAAGCGUGGGGAUCAAACAGG
rnacentral:rRNA from 1 species